AUUGAACGCUGGCGGCAGGCCUAACACAUGCAAGUCGAACGAGUGGCGGACGGGUGAGCAAUGUCUGGGACACUGCCUGAUGGAGGGGGAUCACUACUGGAAACGGUAGCUAAUUACGCAUACACUAAGAUGUGCCCAGAUGGGAUUAGCUAGUUGGUGGGGUAACGGCUCACCAAGGCGACGAUCCCUAGCUGGUCUGAGAGGAUGAACAGCCACACUGGAACUGAGACACGGUCCAGACUCCUACGGGAGGCAGCAGUGGGGAAUAUUGCACAAUGGGCGAAAGCCUGAUGCAGCCAUGCCGCGUGUAUGAAGAAGGCCUUCGGGUUGUAAAGUACUUUCAGCGGGGAGGCGUUACCCACAGAAGAAGCACCGGCUAACUCCGUGCCAGCAGCCGCGGUAAUAC
rnacentral:rRNA from 1 species